AGUUAGUGGCGAACGGGUGAGUAACGCGUGGGGAUCUGCCCUGGAGUGGGGAACAACAGUUGGAAACGACUGCUAAUACCGUAUACGCCCUUUUGGGGAAAGAUUCAUCGCUGAUAGAUGGGCCCGCGUUAGAUUAGCUAGAUGGUGAGGUAAUGGCUCACCAUGGCGACGAUCUAUAGCUGGUUUGAGAGGAUGACCAGCCACACUGGGACUGAGACACGGCCCAGACUCC
rnacentral:rRNA from 1 species